CCUACGGGAGGCAGCAGUGGGGAAUAUUGCACAAUGGGCGCAAGCCUGAUGCAGCCAUGCCGCGUGUAUGAAGAAGGCCUUCGGGUUGUAAAGUACUUUCAGCGGGGAGGAAGGGAGUAAAGUUAAUACCUUUGCUCAUUGACGUUACCCGCAGAAGAAGCACCGGCUAACUCCGUGCCAGCAGCCGCGGUAAUACGGAGGGUGCAAGCGUUAAUCGGAAUUACUGGGCGUAAAGCGCACGCAGGCGGUUUGUUAAGUCAGAGGUAAAAUCCCCGGGCUCAACCGGGAAACUGCACCGGAUACUGGCAAGCUUGAGUCUCGUAGAGGGGGGUAAAAUUCCAGGUGUAGCGGUAAAAUGCGUAGAGAUCUGGAGGAAUACCGGUGGCGAGGGCGGCCCCCUGGACGAAGACUGACGCUCAGGUGCGAAAGCGUGGGGAGCAAACAGGAUUAGAUACCCCUGUAGU
rnacentral:rRNA from 1 species